rnacentral:rRNA from 1 species
AGUGAACGCUGGCGGUAGGCCUAACACAUGCAAGUCGAACGGCAGCACAGUAAGAGCUUGCUCUUACGGGUGGCGAGUGGCGGACGGGUGAGGAAUACAUCGGAAUCUACUUUUUCGUGGGGGAUAACGUAGGGAAACUUACGCUAAUACCGCAUACGACCUACGGGUGAAAGCAGGGGAUCUUCGGACCUUGCGCGAUUGAAUGAGCCGAUGUCGGAUUAGCUAGUUGGCGGGGUAAAGGCCCACCAAGGCGACGAUCCGUAGCUGGUCUGAGAGGAUGAUCAGCCACACUGGAACUGAGACACAGUCCAGACUCCUACGGGAGGCAGCAGUGGGGAAUAUUGGACAAUGGGCGCAAGCCUGAUCCAGCCAUACCGCGUGGGUGAAGAAGGCCUUCGGGUUGUAAAGCCCUUUUGUUGGGAAAGAAAAGCAGCAGGUUAAUACCCCGCUGUUCUGACGGUACCCAAAGAAUAAGCGCCGGCUAACUUCGUG